rnacentral:tRNA from 1 species
GCCGACGUAGCCCAAUUGGUAGAGGCAAACGACUUAAAAUCGUUCAAGUGCGGGUUCGAGUCCCGCCGUCGGUACCA